UUCUCUGACAAAUAAAUAAAUAAAUAAAUUUUUAAAAAUUUAUUCACCAACAUUUUAUGUCAUGUAAAUUUUGUGUUGUUAUGAAUUCACACUUGUUUAAAAAUUACAGGCAAGUCCAGGAAAACAACAGGGUAAACUUGUCAGUGUUCAGGUAGUUCUUUGGAGGUCUUUUGUAGACAGGCACAAUUAGGCAGCCAGAUCUAACUUUCAAAUGGGCUCUUUCUCAUUUCAUGUGGGUUAUGCUGGGAAACCCAGUCUCUUGUUCUGAUUCAUUCUGCACUCUGUUAUAGACUAGUUGUGUGAUUCUGGCCAUGGCCCUUCUAGAUUUCAGCAUCCUUUGGUAAAUGUGCAGAUAGUGGCUUACGUGAGCUCUAAAAUGUUUGUGAUCUAUAUUACAUAUUGAAUUUUCCUGCAAUCAAGAAUUUCAUAGUUAAACCAUUGAGAACCUAGAGAAAUUUAGGGAAAGAAUAUAGAUGUUACAAACUGACACUGCAUUGAACCAUAGAUGAUAGGGGACCAUUCUGGUUAUAUCUACAGUCCUUCAGUAGGCAAAAAAAAAAAAAAAAAAAAAAAAGAUAGAAACAAAUUUCAGUAAUUGUAGACUCCUGCCUGACUUUGAAGAACCUACAAGGUAGAACACUAACAAGGACCUUGGUAGACCGCUAAUUAUGCCCUGUAGGUGAGAUUUUAUGGAGCUUUCUCAACCAGCAAAUCUCUGAGAAGGAUAUUUUAAGCCAGAGG